CCCAUUUUUCUGAGAUUCUAGGACCUGUAUUUCAGGUUCCGACCCCAUCCUUUAUUUUUGACCUGUGGCUGCUGCGUUUUAACCUGUAUAUCAGUAUAUCCCGCUGUAUAUCUAUGUAUACAGGCUGCAUCUCAGCCUAUUUUCAACCUUUCGAAAUCUGAAUUUAAUUUUCCGGCCCAUAUUUAUCAUUUUCUAUCCCUGUUCGUCGGCUAUUUAGACUUGAUAAAGAGACACACUAGGCCUGUAAUGCCCCCGAGAUGCAAGGAGAGGGAGCGGAGUCCAAAUGGACUCAAAAAGAUUUUCACAUGCCACAGAUAAAAGAGAAAUACAUUAGUAAAUUCAAAGUUCAAUGACAUGAGAAAAGAGUGCAUUCAAAGAAUAAUAAUACCAACUCAAGUGAAUAAAC
rnacentral:lncRNA from 1 species